CCGCCGCGUCCGUCAAGCUAGCGCGUCACAUCUGCCACUUCUCCUCUAGGUAGCACGGGGGUUCUGCCUAUGUGAGCCACGACGGCGCUGCCCGCGCCACUGCCUCGUUCGUGAGCAUCACCUCGCCCCUGCCCCGUCCGUGAGGUAGACGCUUUGUGGAAGGAAGGCGAGCUCUUCCGCCGUGGGAGCCGUCGGGAAUUGUUCGCUUGCCGGGUUUUGGCCACUUACCAGGUGGCUCCGGCUAAGCUGAGGUGCUGGUUUUCAUGUGAGCAGCUACUGGUGGUUACGCGUUGAUAGGUGUUUUUCUUCAGGAGCAGCCUGGUUGGCUGGUUACGUUUUCGACUGGCCAAGCAAUAGCUAUUUUUUGUCUACUACCUCUGCAGUGGCUACUUUUGCUAUAAUGUGCAUCAGCAUCAGAACCACGUUCCCUAUCAUGGUAUGGGGCUUAGCAUCAUCAUCUGCUUCCAAAAGUUUGUGUUUUCAAAUGCUACCACAUUUUGGGUUGAAUGGCUUUCAAUCUGCGGAAUGCAUCACUUUCUAUGUACAUGACUUGCUCUAAUCCUGAUCUAUUAAGUGGUUCUUUUGGUCUAUUCCUUUGUGCCGAGCUUGAUGUGCCUCAAUUGUAUUAUGUGAUAUUUAUUUCGAUUGGAAAAUUAAUGAGGUUAAAGAUUUGGUGCAUUGCUUGAAGUGAACCAUGCAUUGAUUGCAUACUACAUUGAUUUGAAUUUUACGUCUGGACCGGACAAUGC